rnacentral:tRNA from 1 species
CGGGGCGUAGCGCAGCUUGGUAGCGCGCUUCGUUCGGGACGAAGAGGUCGCUGGUUCGAAUCCAGUCGCCCCGACCA